GACGUAGGUGGCAAGCGUUACUCGGAAUUACUAGGCGUAAAGCGCAGGUAGGUGGCGGGGUAAGUCCGCAAUGAAAGCUCCCGGCUUAACCGGGAGAGGUUUGUGGAUACUGCUUUGCUCGAGUGUGGGAGAGGUAACUGGAAUUCCCGGUGUAGCGGUGAAAUGCGUAGAGAUCGGGAGGAACACCAAUGGCGAAAGCAGGUUACUGGCCCAAUACUGACACUGAUCUGCGAAAGCUAGGGGAGCAAACAGG
rnacentral:rRNA from 1 species